rfam:Phycisphaerae bacterium L21-RPul-D3, complete genome.
AAAUUGAAGAGUUUGAUCCUGGCUCAGAACGAACGCUGGCGGCGUGGUUAAGACAUGCAAGUCGCACGAGCCUUUCAUGGCUAGUGGCGAAAGGAUGAGUAACGGAUAGGUAACGUACCCGAUGCACAGGUAUAGCGUCGAGAGCUUGCUCUCUACCGAAAGGGGCGGUAAUACCUGAUAACAUUGCCAGCUGCAGGGCAGGCAAUCAAAGAUUUAUCGGCAUCGGAGCGGCCUAUUCCCUAUCAGUUAGUUGGUGAGGUAACGGCUCACCAAGGCAACGACGGGUAGCGGGACUGAGAGGUUGGUCCGCCAUAUCGGGACUGAGACACUGCCCGGACCUCCACGGAGGGCUGCAGUAACGAAUCUUGGGCAAUGAUCGAAAGAUUGACCCAGCGACGCCGCGUGCAGGAAGAAGCCCCUCGGGGUGUAAACUGCUGUCAAGAGCAAGUAAGCGCAAGCAGAACUACUCUAAAGGAAGUCACGGCUAACUUCGUGCCAGCAGCCGCGGUAAUACGAAGGUGGCGAGCGUUGUUCGGAAUCACUGGGCUUAAAGCGUACGCAGGCGGUUUUCUAAGCGUUCUCUGAAAUCCCCCGGCUCAACCGGGGAAUUGGGGGGCGAACUGGAAAACUUGAGGCAUACAGGGGCGGGUGGAACUCUUCGUGGAGCGGUGGAAUGCGUAGAUAUGAAGAGGAACGCCAGAGGUGAAAACGGCCCGCUGGGUAUGACCUGACGCUGAGGUACGAAAGCAUGGGUAGCGAACGGGAUUAGAUACCCCGGUAGUCCAUGCCGUAAACGAUGUGCACUGGUUCGCAGUAAUUCUGACAUUAUUGCGGGCGUAGCAAAAGUGUUAAGUGCACCGCCUGGGGAGUACGGUCGCAAGGCUAAAACUCAAAGGAAUUGACGGGGGCUCACACAAGCGGUGGAGCAUGUGGAUUAAUUCGAAGCAACGCGCAGAACCUUACCUGGGUUUGACAUGUUUGGAUGCCUUCCUGGAAACAGGACCGGGCUGCUCUCUUCGGAGAGUGAAACUUACACAGGUGCUGCAUGGCUGUCGUCAGCUCGUGUCGUGAGAUGUUGGGUUAAGUCCUUGAACGAGCGAAACCCUUGCCGUUAGUUGCCAGCAGGUUAAGCUGGGGACUCUAACGGGACUGCCGGUGUUAAACCGGAGGAAGGCGGGGAUGACGUCAAGUCCUCAUGGCCUUUAUGCCCAGGGCUUCACACGUGCUACAAUGGCAGAUACAGAUCGACGCAAAGCCGUGAGGUUGAGCAAAUCGCACAAAGUCUGCCUCAGUUCGGAUUGUUCUCUGGCAACUCGAGAACAUGAAGUUGGAAUCGCUAGUAAUCGCGUAUCAGCAAUGACGCGGUGAAUAUGUUCCUGAGCCUUGUACACACCGCCCGUCAAGUCAUGGAAAUCGGGAGCACCCGAAGUCGGCUUGUCAACUCUUCGGAGAGACGGCUGCCUACGGUGAACUCGGUAACUGGGACUAAGUCGUAACAAGGUAGCCGUAGGGGAACCUGCGGCUGGAUCACCUCCUUU